CUUCUGGGUGCAUUUGGACCAAAAAAGAAGAAAAGGCCAGUUUUUAAGCAGGCAGCUAUGAGGAAAGCAAAGUGUUAUUCCUUUCAAUAUUUAAAGAGGGGUUGCUCUACUCCCUCAGGAUCAUUCUAGGUGCUGAGUGUCUUCAACAACAACAACACUGUCCUCUCUAUGCAAUGUUGGUUUUUUUCUAUUUUAUGUUCCCAACCCUUAGGAUUCUUAUAGUCUGAAUUUCUCCACCACAAGGGCUCCCAUCUCCAGAGAGCAUUGAAGUAAUUGGCAAGAAUGUUGCCACUUUAUACACACACACACACACACACACACACACACUGCAUCAGGUGUUUGGGUGCUGUUAAAUUUGCUUCUAGGAUUUGCCAACUAGGAUGAGCCAGCUAUGAUAGCUGUGCUUUUCAUUAGCAGACCAAUGGCAGCCACAAUUGGGAGAUGACUCUGUGUGUGUCCCCAUGCUGUAAAAAGGCACAAGAAUAGGCCAGGCUGCUUUUCCUGGUCAGUUGGCAACCCUAGCUGUAACAUCAGUCCUGGGAAUUGCCUGCGGACUUCUCUCUUGUGGCUUCUCUCCCUCACCUUUUGACUUGCUGUCACAGAAACAUACCAGUGAAGACAAAACGGACAUUUUCUCUCUCUCCUAACUUGGUUUUGUUUAAAACCACAAUGGCUGUACUGUAUAUCAUGCCACUUUAUACAUAUAUAAAGAUACACAUGUAUAUGUGUGUGAUUUUUUUAAAGCCUUUGAACAUGACUAGUUGCUUUCAAGUGUUCUGCACUUACCCCAAAUGUUUUGAAAUUUUGUGGGGGUAUAAACUGAGGAGUGAGCCUGUUUUUGUAUCCUUCCCUUUCCUCUCAUUAGUUUUAUUAAAUUGUACUGUAGCCAUUUUUUAAUUUUUUUACUGGUUUGGGUUUUCUCCCCCCCCCCCUUGUUCAGCAAAUGCUAAACAAAAAGUUCUAAAUGUAAUUUCUGUGGUUUCUAUUCAGCUUCAGUUUAAUGUUUUAAAAUAAACUUUGAAAACGCAUA